rnacentral:miRNA from 1 species
UCUUCUGCGCCAUAAUUGUA